rnacentral:lncRNA from 1 species
UCAAGAUUCAAGAUUCAAUUUGAAGCAAACACAACUACAAAACAAAUAUAAUAAGCGUUAAUAAGCCUGUGGCUGACUGGCUGUGGCCAAGCAAAUGUACUACCUCAUAGUGAUUAGUGACCGUAUCAUAUCUUAUUAUCUUACGCCAGAAGCUAAACAAUGUUCCCAUUCCACGUGUCACUCUCUGACCAAUCCCCGAACUUUCUUCAUAUUUCCAAAGAAACCCUCACCAAGUCAGGAUAAUUACCUUCACUCUACUCAUAUAAAUACUGUCCUCCAUUCAACUGAUGUCUGAUAACGACAUAUCCUUAGUCUUUAUUUAAAAGGGGAAAUUAUAAAAAAUUCUCCUCGUUCCCUGACAAUCUAGGGUUUCUCAAGAAUCGCUAAACCUAGGUCCCAAUCCUUCAAAAUCUCAAUUUAACCUCUCUAGGGUUUCAAUUGUCGAGGAUUCGCUUCAAAAUUUAGUAUUUUUUAGGGGAUUUUGCUUGUCUCGUAUCCUUCAAUUGUUGUUCGGUUNNNNNNNN